rnacentral:rRNA from 1 species
GAUGAACGCUGGCGGCGUGCCUAAUACAUGCAAGUCGAGCGAACAGACGAGGAGCUUGCUCCUCUGACGUUAGCGGCGGACGGGUGAGUAACACGUGGAUAACCUACCUAUAAGACUGGGAUAACUUCGGGAAACCGGAGCUAAUACCGGAUAAUAUAUUGAAUCGCAUGGUUCAAUAGUGAAAGACGGUUUUGCUGUCACUUAUAGAUGGAUCCGCGCCGCAUUAGCUAGUUGGUAAGGUAACAGCUUACCAAGGCAACGAUGCGUAGCCGACCUGAGAGGGUGAUCGGCCACACUGGAACUGAGGCACGGUCCAGACUCCUACGGGAGGCAGCAGUAGGGAAUCUUCCGCAAUGGGCGAAAGCCUGACGGAGCAACGCCGCGUGAGUGAUGAAGGUCUUCGGAUCGUAAAACUCUGUUAUUAGGGAAGAACAAAUGUGUAAGUAACUACGCACGUCUUGACGGUACCUAAUCAGAAAGCCACGGCUAACUACGUG